rnacentral:rRNA from 1 species
CCUACGGGAGGCAGCAGUAAGGAAUAUUGGGCAAUGGAGGCAACUCUGACCCAGCCAUGCCGCGUGAAGGAUGAAGGCCCUCUGGGUUGUAAACUUCUUUUAUAGGGGACGAAAAAAGCUCAUUCUUGAGCACUUGACGGUACCCUAGGAAUAAGCACCGGCUAACUCCGUGCCAGCAGCCGCGGUAAUACGGAGGGUGCGAGCGUUAUCCGGAAUUACUGGGUUUAAAGGGUGCGUAGGCGGCCCUGUAAGUCAGGAGUGAAAGUUUGCGGCUCAACCGUAAAAUUGCUUUUGAUACUGCGGGGCUAGAAUUAGGAUGAGGUAAGCGGAAUAUGUCAUGUAGCGGUGAAAUGCUUAGAUAUGACAUAGAACACCAAUUGCGAAGGCAGCUUACUACGGGAUUAUUGACACUGAGGCACGAAAGCGUGGGGAUCAAACAGGAUUAGAUACCCUGGUAGUCCACGCCCUAAACGAUGGAUACUCGACAUACGCGAUACACUGUGUGUGUCUGAGCGAAAGCAUUAAGUAUCCCACCUGGGAAGUACGAUCGCAAGAUUGAAACUCAAAGGAAUUGACGG